rnacentral:sRNA from 1 species
UGCCAGACCCUGUCGAAGGCCUUCGCAA